rnacentral:tRNA from 1 species
GGUAGCGUCACCGAGUGGUCUAUGGCGCUGGUUUUAGGCACCAGUCAUUUCGAUGACAUGGGUUCGAAUCCCACCGCUGCCA